rnacentral:rRNA from 1 species
AUUGAACGCUGGCGGCAUGCCUUACACAUGCAAGUCGAACGGCAGCGCGGGGCAACCUGGCGGCGAGUGGCGAACGGGUGAGUAAUAUAUCGGAACGUACCCUGGAGUGGGGGAUAACGUAGCGAAAGUUACGCUAAUACCGCAUACGAUCUAAGGAUGAAAGUGGGGGAUUCGCAAGAACCUCAUGCUCCUGGAGCGGCCGAUAUCUGAUUAGCUAGUUGGAGGGUAAAAGCCUACCAAGGCAUCGAUCAGUAGCUGGUCUGAGAGGACGACCAGCCACACUGGAACUGAGACACGGUCCAGACUCCUACGGAGGCAGCAGUGGGGAAUUUUGGACAAUGGGCGCAAGCCUGAUCCAGCAAUGCCGCGUGAGUGAAGAAGGCC